AAACUUAAAGGAAUUGACGGGGACCCGCACAAGCGGCGGAGCAUGCGGAUUAAUUCGAUGCAACGCGAAGAACCUUACCAAGGCUUGACAUACACGAGAACGCCCUAGAAAUAGGGAACUCUUUGGACACUCGUGAACAGGUGGUGCAUGGUUGUCGUCAGCUCGUGUCGUGAGAUGUUGGGUUAAGUCCCGCAACGAGCGCAACCCUCGUUCUAUGUUGCCAGCACGUCAUGGUGGGAACUCAUGGGAUACUGCCGGGGUCAACUCGGAGGAAGGUGGGGAUGACGUCAAAUCAUCAUGCCCCUUAUGUCUUGGGCUUCACGCAUGCUACAAUGGCCGGUAACAAAGGGCUGCAAUACCGUAAGGUGGAGCGAAUCCCAAAAAGCCGGUCCCAGUUCGGAUUGAGGUCUGCAACUCGACCUCAUGAAGUCGGAGUCGCUAGUAAUCGCAGAUCAGCAACGCUGCGGUGAAUACGUUCCCGGGUCUUGUACACACCGCCCGUCAAGUCAUGAAAGUCGGUAACACCUGAAGCCGGUGGCCCAACCCUUGUGGAGGGAGCCGUCGAAGGUGGGAUCGGUAAUUAGGACUAAGUCGUAACAAGGUAGCCGUACCGGAAGGUGCGGCUGGAUCACCUCCUUUCUG
rnacentral:rRNA from 1 species